AUGUAAUUAACAAGUUUUAGUAUUAUUAUAAGAUUAAUUAUAAUGCUGAUUCAAGUUAAAUUUAAUUAUUAAUAUAUGAUUUAAGGUAAUAAAAUAUUUACAUCGAUUAAAGAUUAUAAAUUACAAUGUAGAACUGGACUUUAAGAUUAAUAAUUAAUUAAAGUUAGUGGUUAAAUUAUUGUCUCUACAUAUUUGUUUUUUUAUAAUUUUAUAUUUCUCAUUUUAGAAUUUUAAUUUGUUCGAGGGGAUUAGAGGUUAGUUGGCGGUCAUAAUAAUUAAAAGUAUUUAAUGAUUAAAUAAAUUAUUUAUGUAUUAUCCC
rnacentral:rRNA from 1 species